rfam:Beta vulgaris subsp. vulgaris Bvchr1.sca006.con0237.1, whole genome shotgun sequence.
CUUUGAUCAAUUCUGCUAGCAUUUUUAGUAGCAGCGAAUUCCAGUACCAUAAUCCAAGUAACAGGUAAAGGCCUUAAUGUGUUGGUUGUGUUUGUAUGAGAUACCGUUCUAGUCAUUUUCCUGUAGUUUGAGAAGCGAAAGGAGGUAUCCAUCUGAGAAGGGGUCUGUAUCUGAUUAGCUAGUUGGUGAGGCAAUAGCUUAUUAUAGGGAAGAACAGUAGCUGGUCCCAGUGGAUGAUCUGCCACUCAGGAAGACAGCAAUGAGGGAUUUACCGCAUUGGGUGGAAUCUUGAUGGAGCCAAGUUGUUGAGGUUGAAGGUCCACUGGUAGUGAACUACUUUUUCCAAAGAAGCAACAAUGACACAAGCAUCAACAACUCAAUACUAGCAGCUGCCUGCCGUAAAGCAGAGGAUGCAAGUGCUAUGAAAAAUUAUUGAGCGUAAAGCAUGGUGGCUUUUUAAAUCCAACCCUACAGAAAUACCAAGCUGGAGUAUGAUAAGGGCCAUGAGAUUCUUUAGUGAAGUGGCGAAAUGCAUAUAGAUCAAAGAGAACACCAAGAAAAGAAAAAGCACUGGGCUUACGCAGACACAAAAACUAGAAGAUGAAAGCCAGAGCGAAAGGGAAUCGAUACCUCAGAGUCUUGGCCAUGAGCCACAAAUACUAGGAGUCGUGUGUUUCGACCCUUGCAGUAUUGUAACUAAGAUGACAGAUACAAUGCCACAUGGGAGUACAUUAGCAAGAAUGAAACUCAAAAGAAAUUGACGAGGGCUUAUAUAAGCAAUAAAGCAUUGAAAGUUUACCUUUUCU